UACGGAGGGGACUAGCGUUGUUCGGAAUUACUGGGCGUAAAGCGCGCGUAGGUGGUUUGUUAAGUUGGAUGUGAAAGCCCCGGGCUCAACCUGGGAACUGCAUUCAAAACUGACAAGCUAGAGUAUGGUAGAGGGUGGUGGAAUUUCCUGUGUAGCGGUGAAAUGCGCAGAUAUCGGGAAGAACACCCGUGGCGAAGGCGGUUCUCUGGGACGGUACUGACGCUGAGACGCGAAAGCGUGGGGAGCGAACAGG
rnacentral:rRNA from 1 species